UUCUGAUGGCAGGCGAUCGCCGGCGAGCCGUAGGUUCGCUGGAGGAAAGUCCGAACACCGUACGGCAGCAUGCCGCGUAAAACACGCGGGCGCCGCAGUUGCAAAAUUGAGGUGACGGAAAGUGUCACAGAAAAGAUACCGCCGUUUUUGGCAACAAAGACGGUAAGGGUGAAAAGGCGAGGUAAGAGCUCACCGGGCACGAAGUAAUUCGUGCUGCAGGAAAAACCCCAUGCGGUGCAAGACAAAACAGGAGGAGGAUAGCCGGUCCGUUGAUCUCCGGGUAUCGUCGCAUCGCGAUACGUAAUAACGUGUCGGACGCUCGGAGAAAUCUGGGUGAGAUAAAUGAUCGCCGUGGCUGAGAAUUCAGCCGCACAGAAUUCGGCUUACCGCCGUCAAAAUUGA
rnacentral:RNase_P_RNA from 1 species